rnacentral:rRNA from 1 species
UACGGGGGGAGCAAGCGUUGUUCGGAUUUACUGGGCGUAAAGGGCUCGUAGGCGGUCCAUCGCGUCGGGAGUGAAAAGCUGGGGCUUAACCCCAGUCCUGCUUCCGAUACGGGUGGACUAGAGGUAGGUAGGGGAGAACGGAAUUCCUGGUGUAGCGGUGAAAUGCGCAGAUAUCAGGAGGAACACCGGUGGCGAAGGCGGGAUCCUGGGCCAGUACUGACGCUGAGGAGCGAAAGCGUGGGGAGCGAACAGG